rnacentral:rRNA from 1 species
AGUUUUGAGCUAAAUAUAUUAUAAUAUUAGUUAUUUUUAAAAGGUGUCGUAAAACCUUAUUAAAAAUUAUAUUUAGGGGUGAUAGGCUUUUCAAAAACUAAGAUAUCUUGAAUCUAAAUAAAAGUAUGUAGUACAUUUAACACGACUAUUUAGUGAUUAGGCUUUAUAGGAUUAUUAACUUUAUAUGAUAUUAUAUUUUAUUAUAAUUUAAUAACUAAGUAUUAAAAUAAAUUAACAUUCAUAUAUUAUAAUUUAUAAAGAGUAUUUAGAUAGAUUUUAAGUUAAAAAAAAUUGCAAAAAUGUUAAUAUUAGUAUAUAAAUAUAUACUUAUAUAAUGAACUCGGCAAAAAUGCUUCUCAACUGUUUAUCAAAAACAUAACUAUAUGAAAUUAUAUAUAGCGGUUUCUGCUCAA